rnacentral:tRNA from 1 species
GCGGAGAUAAUCAAGUGGUUUGCGAAGGAUAUCUGCUUGCUUAAAAAUCGCACGCACACGAUGCUGGCCUGCUAAGUCAGUGGGAGAAAUCCUGCGAGGGUUCGAGCCCCUCUCUCCGCG